GUCCAAAGACAAUGAAGACAGCUUUGACGAGCUCUGAAACCAUGAGCCAAACCACUCCUCACUGGAAGUUGGUCCUGUUAGGUAUUUGGUCACUGAAGCAGGACUUAAAGAAAAACAAGUUCUUCCCAGCCUUGGGCAUCUCCUCCCAUCCCCCUUCUCUCCCUUGUAGCUGUAACUCCUUGUUCUGGUACAGAUAAAAUUGACAACUAUGUUCCGUAAACAAAGUUUAUGACACCCUGUUCUCAUAUGAUUCAUAAGACACUCUCUUCUUACAAGGCUGAAUUACAAAGCUGCCUGCCCUUGCCUUGUUCUGGUAAACUCACAUGCUGUGUCAUCAGAAAGACCACCCCCCUUUGACCAAAUGUAUAAAAACUGGAACUUCUCUUUGUUUGUCCCUCUUCCUUUGGACGGAGUCUGUUGAGCCAGUGUUUACCUAAAAUAAAUCCUCCUGGUUCCCAUUGGUCUCUCCUUUCCCUAGGAAUUCUGCAACAUCAACAAGGGAAAACUGACCAACCUGUUUGGGACAGGCUGGGUUUGACAUAUCUAUGAGGUAUGAUUAGAAACCAUGUGAAUAUUAACAUUUUAAAAAUUUAUUACAGUAAAAGACUUUCUUUAACCCCCCUCUAAAUCCUCCCGCUCUCUUUGAACACACUUAUCCCACCACCCUUGCCACUUCCUGAACGAGUUCUUGAAGCCCUCUUUCCUGUCUUUCGUUGCACUGUCCUGGUUGCCUCAAUGUCCUGAACUAAUUCAAAACAUUUUCCUUUCAUGGUCAUUUUGACUUUGGGGCAGAGCCAGAAGUUGCACAACACAGAUCCAGUGAAUAAGGUGGAUGAGGAUACAGCAUCACAUUUUUACAAGCCUGCCUUUCUGUUGGAUGGCACUGGGCAGCAGUGUUCACUGUAUUUCUGAUCACAUCUUGUAAAGACACUCAGGAAAGAGGACUCCAGAACUGCUGCAGAAAGUGGUAAGAAUGAUGGGCCUUGCUUUCUUCAUCUGCUCCCAACUUGGAGAAUGUUGGGGUCUUCAGACAAACCACACGUCACCCCAGCCCAUGGUAGACAGCACUAACUGGGGACUGUUUCCAUCGGGGCUGUCGUCUACUCUGAAACCAGGGCCGGAUAAGCUGAUAUCACCCAGUUCCUCCUGCUCUGAUCUACCUCUCAGGGCUCCUCCAGCCUCUCAUCAGCUGUGGUUUUUCUUCGGCUGAAGCCACAUCCAGAGGGACCUCAGGGGCUGCCUGAUUCCCCUUCAGACUGCAGAGCCCACAGCCCAUGCUGUUGUUCCAAGGUAGGAGAGAGGAAGUAAAGACAGGUAGGAAGGAGACAAGGAAAAUCAUGAUUUAAAAAAAUUGUACUUUUAAGAAAACUGCCACUUCCAGGCUCUGGGGAAAGUUAUCGAGGUGCUCCACAUUGGCACUCUCUUGGUUAAAAUACACUUCUCUCCUUGCAGACCCGCCCCCGCCCUCCCAGAUUCCUUAAGGGUUCUGUAAGUCCAUAAAUCAGCUUAGUCCAGGAAGUAAACUGUGCAAACCUGAUCUGAAGAUAAAGGGACUCCUUGAGAGAAUUCCAAGAAUGCCUAAAUAAUCCAUCUAAAAACUCAGGGCCCUUACUGUCAAAGGGGCCAUUUUCCUGCUGGGGGAUGAACCGACUUUCCCAAAGGUUUCCACCCCUUCAAGAGAAACAUAAAUGUUCCCAGCUCCAGAAGAAAGUGUGCUUCUCACUUGAGGGCCUGCAUUCUACUUCUUUAAGUGUGUACUUUUGAAAUUCUUCCUCAUAAAUCCCUUUCAGGCUCUUACUGACUGGGCUUGAAAAUUCUUUUUCCACAAAGGGAGUCACAAGCUUAUUCAAUGGGGGGAAGAGAGGGCAGCAUCCUCCUUUCUGCUUUGGGACCCUGCAGGGACCCUGCCAGGGACUUGUUCUCUUGGUGAGCCAGCAGCGGGAUGUAAAGAGGCACCAGGACUAGGACUUGGUAAGUCCCACUGAAGGCUUUUCCAUGUUUUCUUCCCCACUUCCUCAACUUCGUGCCUCUGGAAUGCAGCCUAUUUCUUGCCCUCCUUUUCCUGCUUCUUCUUUCUCCCUCCCUCUCUCUCCCUCUUCUCUGCAGCCUUACAUUUUUUUCCCUUUUCAGCAAGUAGAGGCUCCCAGAUUCCUAGAAAAUGGGUGCUUACAUAUAAAACACCAUACAAUUCGGGAUAAUAUGUGUCUGUAUGUGUUGGCUUGAGGUACACAUAUUUCACAUUAACCUCCAAGAGUCCUAUUGAACUUGGAUAAUAGGGUAAGUGGACACUGAUGAUAUAGCUCAAAUGCCUUCUGUCCACAAGGCUUAACAGUGAGCGCAUUUAAAUCAGUCCCAAGAUAAGAGCAAGGAUAUCUUUACAGGUGGUAACCUGUUUUCCCCAGGCCAUUAGCCAACCAACAUAACAUUUUUUUCUUUAAAAAUAAUUGGUUUUGUAAAUGCAAUAUCCAUUGUCUUCUAUGUACAAUAACUCCAGAGCUUUUCCCUUGGUCAAAGAGAAUAUUCUAUAUAUAGCUUAAAAUGUUAACUAUGCUAUGCUUUGAUUCUCAUGAGUAAUCUAAAAUAAUUGUUUAAAUGAGUAAAUAUAAAUGAGGUCAAUGGUUAUAAAUAUUUAUAACAACACUUGAGUCAUCAGCUGCUAAAUUCCAAUUUUC
rnacentral:lncRNA from 1 species